CUCACAUGACUUUCCCCCCAUUUAUUCCAAGAGUCUCUGUUGAAAGUCAGUGGACUGAAGGGAGGCAAGCCUCCGCUCUAACUUUACCUGCAGGUGUCGCUGUUGGACAGUGUUACUUUAUAAAAAAACAAGUGACUUUUAUACUUUUAACCUAAUUUAGUAAUAUUUGCGAUUUAUGUUUGUAAUAUCGAUUAUUUUGUCAUCCAGUUUUUUGAGGAGACACUGCCUCCAUUGUCUCCUCGGAGUGAACGUGCCUGCUCUGGAUAAGUGAGGGCAGUCGACAGGUGUAUGAGACGUCAGGCGUGCUAGAUAAGAGGAUUGUUUAUAAGCACAUGCUUCUAUAACAACUCAGGAUCAACUGUCAGAUAAGGACAAGGACAGAUGGCCAUAGCUGUGACCAGUUACAUUCUGCUGAAAUUGCCAUCAUCAUCAGUGCAUUCACUGAAGGUGCAAAUGUCAUCGCUGUCAUCAUCAUCUUUUGCCAAAUCCAGGAUUAUUUUCUAGUGCAGCGUCUCUUCCAGGAUAUCCAAAUCACAUCAUUCAAGGCUCCACUGUCACACAGCAGGC